AGCUCAGAGAGCUGGAGAGAGACGUGGUGGAGCUCAGAGAGAGACGUGGUGGAGCUCAGAGAGCUGGAGACAGACAUGGUGGAGCUCAGAGAGACGUGGUGGAGCUCAGAGAGCUGGAGAGAGACAUGGUGGAGCUCAGAGAGCUGGAGAGACAUGGUGGAGCUCAGAGAGCUGGAGAGAGACAUGGUGGAGCUCAGAGAGAGACGUGAUGGAGCUCAGAGAGAGACGUGGUGGAGCUCAGAGAGAGACGUGGUGGAGCUCAGAGAGAGACGUGGUGGAGCUCAGAGAGCUGGAGAGAGACAUGGUGGAGCUCAGAGAGAGACGUGGUGGAGCUCAGAGAGCUGGAGAGACAUGGUGGAGCUCAGAGAGCUGGAGAGAGACAUGGUGGAGCUCAGAGAGCUGGAGAGAGACA
ensembl:lncRNA